AAAAAGAAAAACACCGAACGAGGUCUCGCCGAUCUAAUCUCCCACACACACACACGAGCACACGACACACGACGGCGCGGCGGGGCACGCCUGCUACGUCCGUACUUCGCUGGUCGCCGUCCACAGUUCCACCCAGCGAGCGUCCUCCUUCACCGGCCUCUCUCUGCCGUCGACGCCUCGCCCCUCCUUGCUCACCAAUUCUCAUCUGCGGAGCCGCCUAAAGAGAACGAGCGGCCGCUCCGGCCACCGGCUAGAUCUGCAGCACCAUCACUCCACCAGCCCACCCCCGUGAUCUACCUGCUGUCGCCGGCCCUCUCUCCCUCUGCAGCACCACCAACUGAGGUGGAGUUCAACAGCUCACAUUCCUACAUCUUUGGAAAUGCAUCCCCAUCUAACCCUACACAGGCAUCCUAUGUGUGCUGAGAUUAUUGAAGAAUUCCAGAAGUGCCAUGUGGAUCACCCCAUCAAAAAAUUCUUUGGUGAAUGCACGGAUCUUAAGAUUAAGCUUGAUCGAUGCUUCCGGCAGGAGGCAAACUUUGAAGAGAGCAAGAAAUUUAAAGAAAGGUUGCAGGCUUAUAAAAAGGAAAUGGCUGAGAAAGAAAAUGAAUCAUAGCUUCAAAUGGAGGACAAUGACCUUCACUGAAUGCUUUUUUGCUGCAAUCCUGUGGCUUCAACUUUGUGAAACAAAGUUACAGGCUUGUCUUUGCUUUGUGUUUACAUCACAUAUCUACUGUUAUAAGAUUACAUCUGAGGUCAUAUAAUCUAUUUAGAAGUUCAAAUUUCCUUCUGUGGCUCAUGCUAUACAUGGUUAGUCUAUUUCCAUGUCUGUACUCCUGUAAAAGAGCAAGUUAGUGAUGAUGGUGUGUCUGCCUUGGCGUCAUUUGUGCCGUUCGAUCUGGAAUGUAAGGCUGAGACUGGCUGUCCCAACUUCCCUGAAAGAUAACGCCACAGUCUGAAGGUUCUCCUUUCUCCUCCUUUCAGGAAAGGUACCGAGCCUUCGAGAAUCCUCUCCCAAAUUCCUUGCGGUCAGCCCCUCCUCUCCCUCCCCCUGCGACCGCCGCAGUUGAGUUAGGCGUAGGGUCCCUCCCCUUGUGUAUCUCCUACUGUAAUUAGGGUGUCAAUAGAUCGGAUUUAGCUUCGAGCCUCCCCCAGUUUCUCUCCUAGAUCUGGCGUGCAGGCCGUCGGAGCGGCGGUUGCUGCCAUGUCCAAAUUUGUUUUCUACAGCAAGUUACUUCGUUUUUCUCUUUGUGGCUGUUGGGGUUGAUUCCCUGUUGUGCCCGACUUAGGUUCCCUUCUCAACUCUGUGCUACCCAUGGAAGCUACCAGCAAUAGGACCGCAUGAGUAGGCCUGGCCGCCUAGGCGUUGCAGGCGCGGUGGAUUUCUGCUGAUGGCGAGCUACUCAUUCCCAGCAGUUCUG
rnacentral:rRNA from 1 species